UAAGUAUAGUAGAGGGGGAUAAAAAGCAUUGGCUGCUAAAUAGCUUCACACCAGGUGACAAGAGAAGUGUUGCUUUGUUCCGGCAACAAAACUCCAUCUAAAAGCUCGGCUACAAACAGAGUUACUGCCUGAUUAAAUUUGUGAUCAUCCACUGUCAUUAUGUAAGAUUAAUAUACCUUCUGCUCAGGCCAAAUAAGUAAUUGAAUGGAGGCAGAAUCACCACUGCUCUAUCUUUCCAGGCCUUGAGGCUGACACUAAUAUCUGCAAACCCUCCAAAAAUGCAGUAUUGCUUUUGAUUUAGUAUCUUUGUAGAUAGAGAUAGUUUUACUGACUUCCAUAUGGUCUUUAUGCCAUAAUAGCUCUCACUUGAAGGGUCAAGGAACCAGUGUGGGAAUUCUGAAAAUUUCUGGUGUCUCUAUUCCAGUUAUGUGUUCCACAGUUGAAGAAAGAACCACCCUUUGGAUUUGGGCCCAGUGGGCCCACUAUGAGUUAGACCUGAGCUAAAAUCCCUCAAUCACUUGACCCCCAUUAGCUCCUUCUCUGGGUAGUGCACUACAAGCGACUUUUUGGGUCACUAGGCAUUAACAUCAGCUGAAAGCCAGUGUUUGGGAAUCUUGAAAAGUCUGAUUCCCCCUACCCACCCACCCAAAUGCCUACUCAGAUUGGUAAAUGGCUGGCUGUUCCUCUGAGGAAUGCUGGGAGAUAGAUUAACAGUAUACAUUUUUGGCAUUACUGGGUUUUUCCUCAAGAAGACCUGGAGACUCCUCUUCUGAAGGGAUGCUUUGAGUCUGUAAACUGGCUCAAGGCUGGACGUUGAUUGAGAGGGUAUGACUCCUUUGGUGAGUCAAGUCAGACCUCUGCUCAUUACGCCUGCAGGUUUUCCACUUAGAUGAAGACUAUAGUGGACGUCCCAUCUAUUUUAUUUCUGCUUACACCAUGCUCAACUAGUAAACACCAAAUAUCUGCAAGCCAAACUAUUUUGCUUACUGCUUUGGCUCCACUGUCCCUAACAGUAACCAUGUCCAUGUUUUUGAUGAGUAAGUGCCAUGUGUCACCCCUGCCACCCUGGCACCUCAGCAUCCUCGUUGGACUCACACAUCCCCAUCUGAAGGUAGCAAUUCUCCCUGUAAUUUCCGAUUCAUAGAGAAGAGCAACCACAAGGCUCUUGAAGGAUUCUGGGGCCUGCCUGAUAAAAGACGUCCUCUGGACCUUCUGAGGUCGGUAAGCAAGCCUUACAGAAAUCCGCUUUAACAUUCUAAUCUUGCUGAGCCUUUGCAUAGUUUUCUCUACAGUAUAUCAAGGAAGUUUUGGCAUUUCAACUGCUUUAGUGCAGCAGGUCAACCAGAUCAAACAAGAGACAUUACUAGCCCCUCAAGCUAAAUAUUCAGUCCAGAAUAUCAAUUUAGUGGGCCCGUGUCAAUAAAUUCAGCCUGAUCUGACCUUAUAUUCUUUCCAUUCUGAUCCCAAACAUAUUCCCCAGGUUUCUGUUAAUAUAAAAUUACACAUUCAUUUUAGUGUGUAUCACACUUCUUUAUGGGUUGCAGUUUGUACUCUUUGACAUCUACUGGGACUUAUGUCCAGUUACAGAUCUAGAAGCAAGGGGAGAUAAUGUAAGAAAGUCCUGGAGAGGAUCAGAAGAUCUUUAUGAGGGGCACCUGGAUGGCUUGGUUGAGUGUUUUACUAUUGCUUUUGGCUCGGGUCAUGAUCUCAGGGUCGAGGGAUUGAGCCCUGCAUUGGGCUCCAUGCUGACCAUGGAGCUUGCUUGAGAUUCUUUGUCUCCCUCUGCCCCUCUCCCUGUAUGUUUUCUUUUUAUUUUUUGAAAAUGUUUAUUUAUUGUGCUGUCAAAAAUGAGUCUGAGCUUUCAGCACAGAGAAUGAUAUGGGGUUCGAACUCACAAAUCAUGAAGUCAUGCAUGUCCUGAGCCGAAGUUGGAUGCUUAACUGACUGAGCCACCCUGGUGCCCCUUCCCUGUAUGUUUAUAUACACAUGCUAGUAUACACAAAAUAUAUCCUCUUUGUGUCAGCUGACACAAUAUAAGCGCACCAGAGUCCUGGAAGGAACAUGCACACAUAGUGCCCAGAUCUUGGUUUCUAAUACCAUAUCCCAUGUUUAAUCUCCAAAUAAAGACAAUAACAAAGUCAUAUUUCCUCCAUCUAACAUUAUACAACUAUCUUCAGGGUACAAUUAAAAACCAUUAAACCUAUCCCUGAAAGAGGAUGCAAAGUCCUUCAGUGAUGUUUAUUUACUUUUUUCCUUGAUAACCCAUAACUUAAAUAGUAUGAUUUAAGUUAACAGUACUUAAAUACUAUGAUAUAAAAUCAGUACACCAUAUAUUAUAGAUACAGGGAUAAGAGAAGGAAGUAAACAAAGAUACCUGCUUAAUAUAUAUACCCAGUAUAUUUUAAGUAUAUGUUAUACUAAGUGUUAAGUAAAUAUUGAAUAUAUACCUAUAUGUACAUUAAGUACGUAUACUUAAGGUAUGGGCACACACAUAUUAACGAAAUAAAGAAGAAAUACUCCUCUGACAAUUACAGUCCUUAUUUCUGUAACUGCUCAUGCAGUCACAGGUGGUAUGUAUUAUGAUCUUUCAUGACUAUGUUUAUUUCUUUUACCCUCAGCAAGAACCUCAGCUGGUCAUGGUUCUUUACCUGGUGGGGUGAUCCAGACCUUCCUUCCUGAAGGGUCUGGGCCACUAGUAGUCUUUCCUGAAUUGGGUUGUUGUAGUUUUCCAUUGAUUUUAAUCACAGGUCAUGCUAGUACUAUGAGAUGCCUCAAGGGAUCUCCUGUAUUCUAGACACACUUUUCCUGAUCCCCAAUGUGUGGUAGUAGUCCAGUUUCUUCUUAGUAGGAUCAAUCGCCUCAGCACAGUAUCUCCCUUCUCUGCCUGUUGAUUUGAAGGCAUGGGGAGCCCAAAUUCUCCAAGUGACAAUCCUAACUUCCAGUUCAGUGGAAUCAUUGUUGCGUCUCCUGGUGGAAGCAUUCCUCCAUUUGGAACUAAUAUUUCUAGGCCAGCAGAACCAGAGGUCUUGUGGACAGGAAACAAAAAUUUUGCUACUGGACACUAGGGGUAAUAAUGCUGCCAAUCCCAUUUCCUCCCUGUGAUUCAUGGACCUGUGAAUCCUGGCAAUGGGAGAAAUAUCACCAUAUACUGGACACCGAUUCAGAGCAUGUACAGCCUUCUGGAGAACUUGCCCCAGCUCUGUACCGUAUUGCCACCCAGUGGCACUGUGCAUUUUCAGAAAGUUAUUCUGACAUUCAAUCAAGCUGGCUUCUUCGGGAUGGUAGAACAGGUGAUAAGAUGAGUGAAUUUCAUGACCCCUGGGUCCAUUGCUUCUCUACUUCUUCUGUGAAGUGGGUUCCUUGAUCAGAAGCAACACAGUGUGGAAUCCCAUGACAGUGGGAUAUUCUGUUAGCCCACAGAUGGUUGUUUUGGCAGAAGCAUUGUGUGCAAGGAAGGCAAGUCUAUAUCCAGAGUGUCUGUUCCAGUAAGGACAAAAUGCUGCCCCUUCCAUGAAUUUUGGUCACAUUUAUUUCUCAUUCUUGGACACACAAAUACAUUUGCUUCUUUCUUUCUCUUGUCUUUUGGGACUCCCAUUAUGUGUAUGUUGAUUUAGUUGAUAGUAUUCCAUAGGUCCUAUAGGCUUUCUUCACUCGUAAAAAAAAUUUUUUUUUCCUUUAUGCUCCUCUGGAUGUUUUUAAAUGACCUGUCUUUGAGUUCACUGAUUUUUUUUCUUCUGCUUGAUUGUGUCUAUUUUUGAAGAUUUCUACUGAAGUUUUUCACUACAAUCUUUGUAUUCUUUGGCUCCAGAAUUUCAGUUUGGUGCUUUGUUGUGGUUUCUAUCACUUUCUUGAAGUUCUCAUUUUGUUCAUUUGUUGUUUUCCAUGAUCUCAUUUGGCUAUCUCUCUGUGUUCUCUUGUACUGAGCUUCUUGAAGAUGAUUAUUUUGAAUUAUUUUUAUUGAUUGAGACUUUGUUACUGGAGCUUUAUUUUGUUCCUUUGGUGGUGGCAUGUUUCCCUAAUUUUUUGUGGUCGUUAUAGGCUUGUGUUGGUGUCUGUACAUUUGAAGAAGUGGUUACUUUUUCUAGUCAUUACAGACUUGGCAUCGUCAAUAAAAGCCCUAUACAAGUCAGCAUGACCAGAUAUUCUGGGUCGACUGGUUGGCUGGGUCUGGGGGUGAAUGGACCCAGUGCUGGCUCUACACCGAACUUGGAUCCCCACUUUGCUCUCUUUUUUCCUACAGGAGAACUUAUGGACUGAGGGGAUCUCUUUGAGUGCUGCACUGUGUGGGUUUUGGGGAGGAGUGAUGAGGGUAUAGUGAGACUGUUGUUCUCACUCUUUUCAAUUAUGUCUUUUUUGUUGUUUGUGUGCUCCACCAAUGUGUUUUAACCUCUCAUCUAGAUUCUGGAGAUCAUCUGAAGGUAUUUUUAUCUACGGGUGGUUGUUAAAUUGGUGUUUCUGUGAAGGAACAAGGACUGGAACUUCAUUUUUAACAUCUUGUUGACCUCUCUCCUGAUUUCCCGUUUAUUUAGAUCUCCAAAAUCUUUCACUGAAAUUUUUAUUAUACAAAUCUUGUACAAACCGUGCAACUUUAAUUGUAGAAGUCUUAUGCUCCUUUUUGUUCAUUUCUUUUUUUUUUUUAAUGCUUAUUUAUUUUUGAGAGAGAGAGAAGUGACAGCAAGGGAGGGAGGGGGGGGCAGACAGAGGAUCUAGAGUGGACUCUGCACUGACAGCAGAGAUCCCCAUGUGGGGCUUGAACUCACAAACCUGUGAGAUGAUGACCUGAGCCAAAGUUGGAUGCUUUCAACUGAGCAGCUCAGGCGCCCCUGUUAAAUUCAUUUCUAAGAACUUUUUCUUUGUUUGUUUGUGGAUUGUUCAGUGCUAUUGUGUACAAAUUCAUUUGCUGUUAAUGUAUUGAUCUUGUAUCCUGCAAACGUGUUGCAAUCAUUGAUUAGUUCUGAUGUUUGUUGUCAUGUUCCUAAGUAUAUUCUACAUGGAAGCUCCUGUCAUCUGCAGACAGAGUUUUACCACUUUAUUUCCAAUCUGGAUGACUUUUAUUCCAUUUUAUUGCCUAAUUUCCCUUUCUAGGACCUUCGGUUCGACAUUAACCGUAAGUGGUAAGAGUGGUGUAAGGGCAUAUACAAAUGAAAAAUAAGAGGCUUAAUAUUCUGCUAAAAAUGAAGAGACAUCCCUCCUUGUAGAUUAUUUUCUUUGUAAAGUUGUAAAUUCUUUGCGCUUUUGAGAAUGAACCACAAAUCUUCUUAAAUGUCUCUUGGCAGUUUUACAGCCUAGAAUGUCUUUCCCAAGGACCUCAGAACCAUCUGUUUGAAAUGUAAUAGGGAGCUGGCACUUCUGUCUCCCAGAGUCUGUGAGAGGGUAGAAGCCUAAACUUUGGUGGUUGGGGUCUUGAUCCAAGUUGCAAAACUACCUCCUGUCAUAAAGAUAGGAGAAGCUUGUUUUUUUAACUUGUAAAACCAAUAAACUAACACAGGUGGUCAUCCCAAUUACCAGGCAAAUUUAGGGCAAACAAUGUGUGAUAAAGGAUGCUGUGAAGUCCUCCUACUUGAGAAUUAGUUAUUGUUUAUUUUUGCAACAUUUAUGUGAUGGGAUGUAUCUACUUGGCUAUAAAAAAGGGUGAGAUUUCUUUCUGUCCUUGGAUUGUCUUUGACAUAUAUCCCGCCAUUCAAUGAUAAGAUUGUUUUCUUUGUCUUCUGCCUGAGUGCUUAAGUUUUCUAGGUUCAGAGAGGAUUUUUAAAAAUUUUUUCAACAUUUAUUUAUUUUUAAGAGACAGAGCGUAAGUGGGGGAGAAGCAGAGAGAGAGGGAGACACAGAAUCCCAAGCAGGCUCCAGGCUCUGAGGUGUCAGCACAGAGCCAGGCCUUGGGCCUCCAACUCAUGAACUGUGACAUCAUGACCUGAGGCAAAGUCCCAUGCUUCACCGACUGAGAAACCCAAGCGCCCCAAGAUUUUGUUUUCAAUUAUAUUUACCUAAUAAUUUAAGGAUGGGCUGAGUCUGGUGAAUCCUGACCACUCAUAAUGCUAAAUCGAGUAUGCUUUCUCAUCAAUGAACGUCUCAAAGGACGAAGAACGAAAUAAGACAGGGAUGACUACUGUCGAAGUUAUGUUAUAACAUAAAUGGAACACAGACUGUCCCUGGAAGGAAUUCUGCAGGUGCGUUCUAUAAAAGAUGGAACCGCUAGGACAGCCAAUUCAUUAAGGAAACAAUUAAUGAAAGAGGUGUAUUUAGAUACUCAUUUCGGAUAAACAAUGAGUCAGACGGUAGUAUCAGUGUCUCCUGCUUGUACCUUUAUUGCUAAAUCGGGCAGUCGUACCCAACGUCUCCUAAGCCUGAUGCCUGAUUCCCAACAAGGUUGCACCAGGAAUUUGGGAAAAGGCCUGCACUAGCGGGUCGGCCACAUGAGCCGCUCUGGGCCUUCUGCGCAUGUGCACUGCGCCCCUCUCGGUAGUUCGCGUAGGCGGCCUCGGGAGAAGACGGUCCCGGAUGCUUCAGUUGCAGAGUGCCGAGGCGCAGGCGGAGAGGACGCGAUGGUCGAGCCCCCGGGUGUCUGUGGUUGAAUGUGGGUGACCCGUGGGACUGAGGCCCCGCGCGGGAGGGGCCGGUGAAGGAGGAAACGGCUCGCUGCCUGAGCGCGGGGUGAGUCCUGCUGCGUCUGUAUGCAUCGAAUGCGAACCAGCGCGUCCCCGCGCUUGUCACCCAGCGAAGGGAUUAUUGUCAUUCGGGGAUGUGACUGUGGGCUUCACUGAGGAGGAGUGGCAGCGCCUGGACCCUGCUCAGAGGACCCUGUACAGGGACGUGAUGCUGGAGAACUACAGCCACCUUGUCGCUGUGGGGUUAUCCAUUCCUAAGGAGGGCUGUGGUGAAAUAGUUUUGGAUUUUGGCUGUGGUGGUGGUUACACAGAUCUCCGCAUUUGUCACAAUACCUGAAACUACAUCAGAGUGAACUUUUGUGUAUAGAAGUAAAAUGAAAAAAUUUUCUCUCAAUAAAUGAUAGGUUACAUGUUUAUACUUAAACAUUUGCAUUCUUUUAAAUUCUCAUAAUAGACUUUUACAUACAUUUGUCAUUCAUUGUCAUUUUCUUUUUUAUCAUGAGUGCUUAGUUAUGUAGCCGGAUUCACGUUUCUAUUGACUUAAAGAUCUCUUUAUUAAUUAACAUAUCUUUUCUUUCAAAUAUUAAAAAUAUAUUUCCUUGUUUAUUUGCUUUUAACUUAAAAUAGAGCUGAACUAUUUGUUAUUGCUAAUACUAAAACGCAUCGGAUACUAAAUUUAUGGUUUUUAUUUUUGGUGUCACAGCUUGUCACCUUUAUUUUCCUAGUGGUUUAUUUUACACAUUUCAAAUCUUGAAUCCCUGUGAAUUAUGCCCUGUGUGAACUAUGUACCUAAGGCUAUUCCAAACUGUUGGGAAUGACUUGCUGUUUGGAAUAUUCCAUUCAUUCCUCAUUGCCUUGAAAUGCUAUAUUUAUUAGACUACAUUCAAAAAAACACUCUUAAUCAUGGCCAUGUUUCCAUGAAGCAGAUGCCAGACUGCUUGUAGUGGAGCAAUAUUAUACGUGUUGAUAUUUCCUAGGAAGUCUUCUUUUCGAAAUGUUGUCAGUUUCCAUUUUCAUGUAUUACAGAUGAAGUUACGAAUGCUUUUGUAAAGUACCUAUUAAAGUACACAAAAAUCAAAGAGAAAAAAGUAUGUACAAAAGUUGGUUGACAGUGGUAGUGGAAUUUGUCACAGUAUAUUGAGUUUCAGUGAAAGGGUCUAUCUCCAUUUCUUCAAGUAAUGUUAGUGUCCUAGAAGAAAGAAUAGGAUUAUGUAGACGAAUAAAGACAUUUUCUUUUGGACUGUCGAUUUUCUGAUUUAUCUACGAUUUUCGUUCAUUUCUUUCAUGAUUUUGAUGAACUACCUUGCUUGAUGCCACCCUCGUCCCCUGGCUUUUUAUUUCCAGAGAAUCGCUGACGGUGUCAGAUACUGUUUUUUUAUUUUAAAAAUUCUUUUAUUGCUUGAUGGAAUCUGUUUCCUAGUAUUUAAAAAAGUGAAGUCGACAAGCAGGUUCCUAUUCCUGACAGCUCUGUGUCUAAAUUGCACACUGGGUGCACAUAGAUCUCGGCUGUAAUCUGCAACUUUUGGGGAGUCCCUGACGCGAUCUACAGUUUGGGUAACUCUGUCAAGCGCCCCAACCUUCUCACGCUGGAUAAAGACUACACGCUCUCCGCUCAAGUCCAUCGCCGCUCACGCAGUCUAAAGGAGCGGUAGCUCUGGCUUUCAGCGCGGAACGCUCCCACUGUCAGGUUCUGCGCUUGCCUAGUACCGCCUUCCGCCGCUCUGCACUUCCGUCCUGUUUCUUUUUUUCCUUCCGUUUAACUCAGUUCUCGCUGGGAGGGGGCGUUCUGCACCCGCCGUGUCUCUGACCUUUUCUGGGGCUUCGUGCGCAGGGAUCGAUAGGUGAGCUUGGGGCGAUUGGACGAGGGCCAAUGGGGGCGCCGUGUGCCCGGGAGUCUGUGCCCCGGCGGUCGGUGCCCGAUCGUGUGGAGGGAGGUCCGUGGACCGGUGACGGCGGGAUGGGGACGUGUCCAUCAGCACUAGAGGUUACUGACUUAUUCAGAAUCACAGUUUGUUAGUGGCGAAGACUGGAAGUUGUGUCUCCCGACUCCAGAGAGACUGCCUGCUUUUGCACACGAGGAAAGGCAAAUUACUUUUAAAAAGAUCCUUUUGAGAAACGGCAACCAGGAUCAAGAAAUGAAAACAUAGACCUUUCAUUAAAGCAUUGCUUUUUAUCGUUUUCUGUGUAAUCAGUAAUCAAAGGUUUAGUAACAGUGGGGAAAUUGAUAAACAGUUUAAUCAGGAGUAUUUUUUUAAGUUUACUUAUUUUGGGGAGAGAGGGAGAAAGAGAGAGAACCCAGAAGAAGCAGAGAAAGAGGGAGAGAGAAUCCCAAGCCGGUUCAACACUGUCACCGCAGAGCCUGAUGUGGGGCUCGCUCCAUCCCGUCAUCCCUGAGAUCUUGACCUGAACAAGAAUGCAGGCUUAACUGACUGAGCCACCCAGGUGCCCCAGGUUGGGAGUAUUUUUUGUAGCAGUUUUGGUGAAGACUUAAUGUUACUUCACUGAGUAUAAUGUUUUAUUUAAACCUACUUUUUAAUUUAAAAAUUUUUUGUGAACAUCAAGAGAGCUUUAAACUGUUAAAAAUCCCCAGGAAACAAAUAUUUAGGUUUUCCCAGUGAAAACUUUUAUGCCCAGCAGCCAUUACAUGAUUAUGUCAGAGUCCUAUUAGAUAGUUGUUCUUUGAGCAUCUGCUGUCCUUUCUGAAGGUGAAAGGCAUUGACGCUCUUCCUAUCUAUUGGGUUGUAUAGUUUUAUAGGGCAGGAGCAUUCAGGAGCCACCAGGCAGGCCAGCUCUUUUAGGACCUCAUUCCUCCUGUAACUCAGCACAGCAACAGAGUUGUCUACACUUUUCCAAGACAGCAGAAAAUGAACAAAUCCCAGAUUGAACAGAAAUCCCAGGGAUCAGUAUCAUUUAAGGAUGUGACCGUGGGCUUCACCCAGGAGGAGUGGCAGUGCUUGGACUCAAGUCAGAGGUCCCUGUACAGGGACGUGAUGCUGGAGAACUACAGCCACCUUGUCUCAGUGGGGUCCUGUGCUACCAAACCAGAGGUGAUCUUCAGGCUGGAGCAAGGAGAGGAGCCAUGGAUAUCGGAGGAAGAAUUCCCAAGCCAGAGCCUCCCAGGUGAGUUGAUACAUACGGCACCGAUGAACAUCAGGACAUUUAUUAUCUUCCCAUGAUUAACCCAGGGCUGGACAACUUUGGAAUGUGUUUUUAAGGUGUCUGUUUAGAAGUCAUAAUCCAGUGAGUGACUGAGAAUACUGGUUAUUGAACCAAACCUCCAGAUUCUGCUCUCACGAAAAAUGUUCUCCUGUUUGAUUCACGUUUUGAAUAUUCACCAUUCUUACAUUUGUCAACAGACCAAUCUUUGCCUUCCUCCCCUUUGCCAUCGUUUUCCUGCAUGAGUCUGUGUUUCUCAAAGCCGUGUCAGCCCCGACCUUACCUGCGUUGUUGCACUGCAUUCCUGCUGUUCCCAGGCAUUGUUUCAUACACUGAUUUUCCGACCUAAAUAAUUUUUGAGUGCUUGCUGUUGUCUAAAUACCAUAGUAGUGAGAGGCGCGUGGGUGGCUCAGUCAGUUGAGCGUCUGACUUCAGCUCAGGUCAUGAUCUUGCUGUCCAUGAGUCGAGCCCUGCAUCGGGCUCUGUGCUGACAGCUCAGAGCCUGGAACUUGCUUCAGAUUCUGUGUCUCCCUCUCUCUUGGCUCUCCCCCACUCGUGCUCUGUCUCUCUCUCUCAAAAAUUAAUAAAUGUUAAAAACAUUUUUUUGAUUAAAAACAAUUAAUAAAUGCCAUAGCAGUGAAAGAAUAAUGUGCCAGUGACUUUGUACAAGUAGCACUAGUGGCCAAGAGAUUCAUGCAGAGGUGGUCAACAUCACUAACGUGAGGGAGAUGCGCAUCCGAGCCACAUCACACCAUUUAGAAUGGCUAGCACCAAGAAGACAAGAGAGAACAAGUGUUGGCGAGGAUGAGGAGAAAAGGGAACUCUUGUGCACUGUCGGUGGUGGUGAUGUAAAUUGGUUCACCUACUGUGGAAAAGGGUGUGGAGAUUCCUCAAGCAGUUAAAUAUAGAACUGUCCUAGGAUCCCGCAGUUGUACUUGGGAACAUACCCGAAGAAAAUGAAAAGAGGAUAUCGAAGAGAAUAUACACAUUCCUGUGUAUCACGGCCUUAUUGACAAUAGCCAGAUCUGGACACAAUCUGCGUGCUCGUCAGUUCAUGAAUGGCUAAAGAAAGAAAAGAGAGUAGUAGUAUUCGGUCAUGAGAAAUGACAUCCUGCCACUUUAAGAGAAAGACAGUUACCGUGUGGUGUCACUUAUAUCUGGAAUCUGGAAAAGGCAAACUCAUGAUAACGGAGGGUAAUGUGGUGGUUCCCAGGGGAUGGGGUGUGGGAAAGGAGGGAAAGGACAAGAUCGGAAGAGAUAAGUAAGCCGUAGAGAUGGCGGAUACCAUAUCAAGAAUGCAGACAGUAUCGAAUUGCGGUCAUCACACUUGCCCAGACACCAGAACUGAAUCGUUCCAAUCACUAAUAAGGCAUGGGAAUUGUGUAACAUAAUAAAGGUGCUGAUCAUUGGCACAGUAGCAGUCCUAAUACAGUUUAUAAUUGUCUGAAACUAACGUGCACGUUGAAUUUAUACACUUAUAUGUCUCAUGCAUUUAAAAAGUAGCACUAGAAGGAGAUACUUCUGCGUAUUAACGCUGUGUAGUGGUAUAAAAUGACCUUGGAAAUUCGAGCAGAGUUAAAUUGUGCUGCUUUAAGAAGAGUAGUCAGGGGAGACCUAAAGUAGCAGAUCAGCCACCGUUAGAGCAGGAUUUGAGUGAAAUGUUUGUGUGAGUUGGGUGGUUUCUGCCUCUUCUCAGCAAGGGGAAUAGCACCCACUAAGCCAAUGAGCAGGAAUGUGUUUGGUGUUUUUUGGGAAAUAGCGGAAAAAAAAAAAAAGUCACAGUGGCCAGAGGGGAGUGAGUGAUUGAUGAGUGUGGGACAGGAAAUGACGUCAGGCAGUUGUGGUCCACAAGGUAAAUAUCAUAAAUCUUAUUAAAGUUAUUAAUGUUAUCCUCUUUAGUAUAUUUUGGUUAACAAGCAAUGUGUAGUUUAUGUUUAUAAGAUCGUUCUCGCCCCUGGAGAAGAUAUCGGGAAGAGCAUAAGCACUACAGAUGUCGCUAGAGGACGCUUGUCGUUUUCCUUAAGGGUGAUUAUGGUCAGUCCAGAUUGGAAGGCGUGGAGGUAACGAGAGGAGGGUGGAAUCUCUGUGUGUCAGGAAGAAGAAUAACAGAAAGGGAAGGGGGGUGGGACUUGAAGGAUUUUAAAGAAUAAUGGUUGAAAACUUCCCAAGUUGGGCAGUAGAGCUAAAAGUACUCAUUGAAGAAUGUGCAUGAACUGUAAGUAAGAUAAAUGCAAAGGGAUCCACGCCAAUGUCAUGUCAUGAUAACAUUUCUAAAAACAAGAGAAUGUUUCAAAGUAGCCAGAGAGAAACAUCUCCUUUUCUUUGGACAUGAUAGUGGAUGUUUCAGCCAAAAGCAUGGAAGCUAGAGGGAAAUAAUGCCCUUAUUUGAGUACUGAAAGAAAAGAACUUUCAGACAAAAGCGGUAUCUUAUGAAUAUAUAUUUAUGAAAGGAGAGCUGAAGAUACCAUAAAAAGGAAAACUAAGAGAAAGUGUUGUAAGCAAAAAAAGCUUUUAAAAAUGGCUAGAGGAGGUUCUCUGAAUCGAAAGGAAAUAACACUAGAAAGGUGGAACUUUAGAAAAGAAAGAAAAAUGGAAGUGGCAAAAAUAAGGGUAAAUGUAAUGGAGUUUCCUUCUCAUGAGUUUCUAUAAUCAUAUUUGAUUCAGGCAAAAUUUAGAAAUAUCUUAUGAUUUGAUGCUCUAUGUGUGGAGAAAAUGAUAUAAUUACAUUUAAAAGAUAGAAUAAAGGGCUUUAAAUGGAAUUAAAGUGUUACAUUUCUCUUGAAGUGAUAAGAUGUUGAUCCGAGAAGACUGUGAUAAAUUAUAUAUGUGCUUUUUACCUAGAAAUGUACUCAAAUACCUAGAACAACCACUAAAAAGUUAUAUGAAGUGGUACAUUCAGAAAAAGCGUAAACAGAAAAAAACGACAUACUCUAAAUUAAUGAAAAUGGAAUAUUUAAAAUAAUGUUCAGGUAACCAGUAAGAAAAUUAGUUAGGAAGAGAUGAAUGAGAAACUGAGAAAACAACCGAAAAAUAAAAUGGCAGACUGAAACCUUGACAUUAGCAGUGUUCACCAUCAAUGUAAAUGAACUAAAUACACCAAUAGGCGUAUAAAUUGGUAGACUGCAUGAAACAGAAAACAUGAUGCAGAAAUAUGUUAUCUACAAAAAAUUCACUUCAGAGAGAACAUAGUAAGGUUGAUAAGGAAUAGAAAAAGAUAGGGGCGCCUGGGUGGCUUGGUUAAGCAUC